AGAAGAAGUGGGGAAUGAAGAAUAAAAAAUUACUGGCCUCUUGUGAGAACAUGAACUUUUUACCUCGGAGCCCACCCCCUCCCAUCUGCAAAACAUACUUGAGAAAAACAUUUUCUGGAACAACCACAGAAUGUUUCAACAGGCCAGAUGUAUUGCCAAACACAGGAUAUGACUCUUUGGUUGAGUAAACUUGUGGUUGUUAAACUUCCCCUAUUCCCUCCCCAUUCCCCCUCCCAGUUUGUGGUUUUUGCAUUUAAAAAGCUUGUGAAAAAUUUGAGUCUUUGUCGAGACUCCUCUACCCUGUGCAAAGGUGUACGAGUCUCGGCCCCAGCGCGCUG
rnacentral:lncRNA from 1 species